rnacentral:rRNA from 1 species
GAUGAACGCUGGCGUCGUGCCUAAUACAUGCAAGUCGAGCGAACAGACGAGGAGCUUGCUCCUCUGACGUUAGCGGCGGACGGGUGAGUAACACGUGGAUAACCUACCUAUAAGACUGGGAUAACUUCGGGAAACCGGAGCUAAUACCGGAUAAUAUAUUGAACCGCAUGGUUCAAUAGUGAAAGACGGUUUUGCUGUCACUUAUAGAUGGAUCCGCGCCGCAUUAGCUAGUUGGUAAGGUAACGGCUUACCAAGGCAACGAUGCGUAGCCGACCUGAGAGGGGGAUCGGCCACACGGGAACGGAGACCCGGUCCAGACCCCUACGGGAGGCAGCAGUAGGGAAUCUUCCGCAAUGGGCGAAAGCCUGACGGAGCAACGCCGCGUGAGUGAUGAAGGUCUUCGGAUCGUAAAACUCUGUUAUUAGGGAAAAAAAAAUGUGUAAGUAACUAUGCACGUCUUGACGGUACCUAAUGAAAAAGCCACGGCUAACUACGU